rnacentral:lncRNA from 1 species
ACGUCAUUUCUCCUGUUUACUGGCCUCCUGGUACUCCUCGUACAAAUUGCCCAUCUCUCUGCUAGUUUAUCUUUCUUGUUGGUUUGUCGGAGCUCUUUACAUAGGAAGGAUCGUGCACCCUGCUCUGGCAGACCUGCUAGCACCCACGCUCUCUCUUGCCCCUUGCAGUGGUUGGCUGGCAGCGAUCGGGUUCUUCCAGACCAAUGUCGGGGCUGCUGUGGUCAUGCUGCUUCCAGCCAUCAUGUUCUCCAUGUCAGCUGCCCUGAUGGCCGUCGUGAUCAUGAAGGUGCACAGGAUCUAUCGAGGGGCUGGCGGAAGCUUCCAGAAGGCGCAGACGGAGUGGAGCACAGGUGCUUGGCGGAACCCGCCAUCUCGGGAGGCCCAGUACAACAACUUCUCCGGGAACAGCCUGCCCGAGUACCCCACGGUGCCCAGCUACCCGGCCGGUGGCGGCCAGUGGCCCUAGAGGGAGCCAGCCGGCCUGCCUCCCCCUCCACUCCCGCUGCUGCCCUGGGUCCCCUGAGCCCUGGAGCCUGUACCCCGUCCCUCCCGGGCAGCAGCUCAGCCUCUCCCCGAGCUGGGACGGCAGGAGGGGUCAGUGGCCGCCAGGGCUCCCAGCCAGGCUGCCCCGCGUUCCUCUCCCUGCCCUGCUGGCACAAGGAUGCUCUCCUCACCCCCACCGCGCUCGCCCCAGAACCGCGGCGGCCUCACACUCCCCGUGCGGUCUCAGAGGGCCCACCGCGGCCUCCUCGUCAGGGCGCUCGCCCCAUGCCAGGACGAGGGAGCCUCGGCACCAGGUUGCUGGGCCCCUCGGGCGACAGAGGGACUUGAGGCACAGCGGCUCCUUGGGACUUUUGUCCUCCUGAGUCCCCCACCACCUGCUGCGGGAGGGCCCACCGGCUGAGCCCUCGGGAUGGCCAGAGGCAGAUCCGUCGCCUCCACGAUCUGAGCGCUGCCCCCGCCCCCGUUUGUCUGUCCGUCCAUCCCAGUCCCUCCGCCCCGGGCUGCUCGGCUGCUGUGGGGGCCGGCCUGCCUCCCACCUCCUGCCCACGGUCACUCGCAUCCCGAGACGCCUUUUCCCUGUAAUGGUUAGAAGUCCACGCCCGGGGAGGCUAAGGGAGAGAGGCCCCACCAGCACCCCGCCCCGUGCAGGCGCAGAGGAGAGCGGGCGGCUCUUGAGGUCACGCCUGCCCUGGGCCGGCCCUGUUCUGGAUCCGCGGGAGGCGGGGUGUGCAGUUUCUCAGGAGGGCAGCCCUGGGAGGAGACGGCGACCCACCUCUGUGCCUUAUCGAGGAGUCUGAGCAGCCUCGCCGUGCUUGCUCCCUUCCCCUUCUGCUGGCUUCUUCCAGACGAAGGAACCCAGUGUCCCGGGGGCUCUGCAGCCGCUUUGUGAAUGGACGGACCACAGGAGGCCUCCUGGUGGCCUCAGGCUGCCAGGUGCCCCUCCCUCCCCAGCACUGCCCCUCGGCUGCUUCCCCGGGACGCCUGCUUCUAGAAGCCCCCGGCCGGAGGGCCACGCUGUUCCCUGGGCCUGCGCUUGCUUGCUUGAGCUGUUUGUGCCAUGGUCCCUGGAGGAAGUGGCUGCAUCCAGGUCCCCAGCGGACGAGGCCUCCUGGAUGGAAACCCAGCCCCGGGUCUCCUGGUGCCCCUAACGUCCCCGAGCCGGCCUCUCGCACGGAGAGGUGCUCACCGUGGGGCCGAAUCUCGUCAUGACCCUAACGCUGAUGGUGACACAGCCCGUUGGCCAGGUGGUCAGCGAGUGGUCACCCCAUGUCGGAGGAAGACACAUGGAUUCACCACGGCUCCCCCCUCCCCCGUGCCCCCACUGUCCUUGGCACCUUUGUUAAUACGUUGAGGUGGUUUUUGUUAUCAGAAAAUAUCCUGGAAAUAAAUACGUUCUUUCUGCAUCUGAGCCA